AUUGAACGCUGGCGGCAUGCUUUACACAUGCAAGUCGAACGGCAGCGGGGACUUCGGUCCGCCGGCGAGUGGCGAACGGGUGAGUAAUGCAUCGGAACGUGCCUAUCAGUGGGGGAUAACGCUUCGAAAGGAGUGCUAAUACCGCUUAUUAACUGAGGAUGAACGCAGGGGACCUGAGGGCCUUGCGCUGAUAGAGCGGCAGAUGUCGGAUUAGCUAGUUGGUGAGGUAAAGGGUAACCAAGGCGACGAACCGGAGCGGGUCUGAGAGGAUGCUCCGCCACCUGGGGACUGAAACCCGGCCCAGACUCCUAAGGGACGCAGCAGGUGGGAAGUAUGGAAAAUGGGCGAGAGCAUGAUCCAACCAUGCCGCGUGAGUGAAGAAAGCCUUCGGGUUGGAAAGCUCUUUUGUCCGGAGUGAAAUCCUGGCAUCUAAUACGGGGCGGGGGUGACAGUACUGGAAGAAUAAGCACCGGCUAACUACGUGCCAGCAGCCGCCGUAAAAC
rnacentral:rRNA from 1 species